GCCGGUUUCCGUGCUCCUCACACAACGCUUGUGGACUCUGCUGCCCUCCGGAAUCAUGAGCCCCAGACUAAAUGCUUUCUUUCACAUCCUCAUGUGAUCUGAAACUCACUGCAGUGAAAACAGAAGGGAACGGUCCUGUCAGGAGAAUGAGCCCCUGCAGUUACCAGAGCUUCUUUACAGGAGACUGGAGAGAUGGC